rnacentral:rRNA from 1 species
UGUCGCCUAGGGACGCAGCAGUGAGGAAUAUUGGUCAAUGGCCGGAAGGCUGAACCAGCCAAGCCGCGUGAAGGACGAAGGUGCCAAGCAUUGUAAACUUCUUUUGUCAAGGGACAAAAUCAGGCUCGAGAGCCUGACCGAGGGUACUUGAAGAAAAAGCAUCGGCUAACUCCGUGCCAGCAGCCGCGGUAAUACGGAGGAUGCGAGCGUUAUCCGGAUUUAUUGGGUUUAAAGGGUUCGUAGGCGGACUGUUAAGCCAGCGGUAAAACCCCGGGGCUCAACCCCGGCGAGCCGUUGAAACGGGG